rnacentral:tRNA from 1 species
GCCGGGGUGGCGGAACAGGCAGACGCACAGGACUUAAAAUCCUGCGAUCCCCAAAGAUCGUACCGGUUCGAUUCCGGUCCUCGGCACCA